rnacentral:lncRNA from 1 species
CAGCAAUAAUGUUCAGCAAAGUUAGAUUUACAAAUAAGUCAACAUGACUGAAAUGGUCAGUUGACCCCUUAAGGAGUUAUUGCCCUUUAUAGUCAAUUUUUAACCAUUUUUCAUAAAUCUAAGUAAUCUUUUACAAAAAUCUUCUCCUCUGAAACUAAUGGGCCAAAUUAAUCCAAAGUUGGCCACAAUCAUCUUUGGGGUAUCUAGUUUAAAAAAUGUGUGGCGUGACCCAGUCAACCAACCAAGAUGGCUGCCACGGCUAAAAAUAGAACAUAGGGGUAAAAUGCAGUUUUUGGCUUAUAACUCAAAAACCAAAACUUUUAGAGGAAAUCUGACAUGGAGUAAAAAUGUUUAUCAGGUCAAGAUCUAUCUGCCCUGAAAUUUUCAGAUGAAUCGGUCAACCUGUUGUUGGGUUGCUGCCCUGAAUUGGUAUUUUUGAGGAAAUUUUUGCCGUUUUUGGUUAUUAUCUUGAAUAUUAUUAUAGAUAGAGAUAAACUGUAAACAGCAAUAAUGUUCAUCAAAGUAAGAUUUACAAAUAAGUCAACAUGACCGAAAUGGUCAGUUGACCCCUUUAGGAGUUAUUGCCCUUUAUAGUCAAUUUUUAACCAUUUUUUGUAAAUCUUAGUUAUCUUUUACAAAAAUCUUCUCCUCUGAAACUACUGGGCCAAAUUAAUUCAAACUUGGCCACAAUCAUCUUUGAGGUACCUUGUUUGAAAAAUGUGUCCGAUGACCUGGCCAUCCAACCAAGAUGGCCACCACGGCUUAAAAUAGAACAGGGGUAAAAUGUAGUUUUUUGCUUAUAACUCUGAAACCAAAAUCAUUUAGAGGAAAUCUGACAAGGAGUUAAAUUGUUAAUCAAGUCAAUAUAUAUCUGCCCUGAAAUAUUCAAAUCAAUUGGACAACCAGUUGUUGGGUUGCUGCCCUCCAAUUGGUAAUUUUUAAAGAAAUUUUGCUGUUUUUGGUUAUUAUCUUGAAUACUAUUAUAGAUAGCGAUAAACUGUAAACAGCGAUAAUGUUCAUCAAAGUAAGAUCUACAAAUAAGUCCACAUGACCUAAGUGGUCAAUUGACCCCUUAAGGAGUUAUUGCCCUUUAUAGUCAAUUUUUAACAAUUUUCAUUAAUUUGGUAAAUUUAUGUAAAUUUUUACCAAAUAUUUUUCUCUGUUACUAAUGGGCAAAGUUCAUUAUAGAUAUAAUUGUAAGAAGCAAGAAUGUUCAGUAAAGUAAGAACUUCAAACACAUCACCAUCACCAAAAUACAAUUUUGUCAUGAAUCCAUUUGUGUCCUUUGUUUAAUAUGCACAUAGACCAAGGUGAGCGACACAGGCUCUUUAGAGCCUCUAGUUUUCUUUCGUUAAAUUUUCAAACAUCAUUCAUAAAAAGCUAGAUAAUGUGCACUUUUAACUUAGUUUUGUUGUAAUUUCACAAAUGCCAUAUUGGCAUACAAUGCACUCCUAAUGCAACUGUUUUUGAAAAUAUCUGACAAAAUCUUUUAGUUCACAGUUUGAUUGAAUUUUAUAAAGCAUUCAUUAUUAGCAUUUUAGGAGGUAAAUUUCUCAGAAUUUGAUUGCUUGUGAUAAUGAAUAUAUGUGUUAUGUAAAAAAUCAAGCAUGAGAAAUCAAAUGAGUUCAUUAAUCUUCGACUUAUAUCAUAUUUUCAUGUCACUUCACUGUAAAAAAAUAUUUUGUUCAUUAACUUGAAGAUUGUAUUUUUAUUUGUAUAUUAUGCUGACAUAUUUAAUCAGUCGUGAUGCUUUUUAGUUUGUAUGUGACAACCUUUAGAAAUAGGACUGUUUAUCUUGUUGCUUUGGUUAAAUGUUUAAGUUUUAUGUCCUUUUGUGUCCAUCUAGCAUUAACAUGGCUCUGUUUAAAGGCAAUUUGAAAUAUUCCUGAUUCAUAAGUGUCCUAAUCUUUUUAACUGACUGUUAAAAGUAAAAUUUAUGCUUAUGAGUUUCUGAGAACCUGUUUUUGGAAGUCUGAAUAAAAUUAAUUGAAAAAGCACCUAGCAACAAUGUCUUUUUGAAACAAAUACUAAAACCUUGACAUGAGAUUAUGGAGAUCUAAGGGGACUUUGUAACAUUAUCUUGUUAUAAUCAAAGGAUUUUAUACCUGGUUGAAGUUUAAAUUAUAAAUAAUUCUGGAAGCAUACAAUAUUUUGAAUGUAAUAUUUACAUUUAUUUUAAUAUCAUAAUAAAAAUGUUCUACUUAAGGAAUAUAUUUAAAGAAUUUUUUUUUUAUGUCAAGGACUUUCUAUUUGAUAAACAGUCCAGAUGGAACAAUAAUUCUGUACAUUCAUUGUAGUAUACUAUAGUAUUUGUAUUAAAAAUGCUUUAUUGAACUAAUCAGAACUUAAAUUGGUGUUUAUACAAUUCACUGGAAAACCAGACAUCUAUGUUUUGUUUUCUUUCAUUUUCUUUCUUGGUUUCUUAAUUUACUGGAUUGAGUUGCAAGUUUAAUUCUCCUCAAAUAUAAAUAUGUUUACAAAUUUGAGAUGAGAGAGAGAGAGAAAGAUAUUCCCAAAAGCAUUGAUGUAGAAUGUACUUUGAAUGAUACUUUUGAAAAGUGUUAAACAUGCAGCGUACUGAAGGAAUAACAGAAGGUUUGUUUGGUACCAAUAAUUUAUAAUUAAUUAACAAUUAUCUAAGAAAAAUUGAAAAAAAAAUCAGUUUAUUUAUUAAUUAAUUUUAUUUUUGCUUUGUGCAUCAAGUUGGUAUUAUGCCUUUUUUUUUCAACAGCAAUGAAUUAACAUUUAGAAAAAUAAAGUAUUAUUCUCAGUUCUCUAUGAUGGGUAAAAUUAAAAUCCCCAAUAAAAUAUGGAAGUGACUGGAAACAAAUUAAAGUAUGUUAAUAUUGUUACAUAAUAUUUUUUUUAAAGUGGUCUGUUUGUUUGGCAAUUUUGUUGAUAAACAUAAGUUUUCUUCAAUUAGGCAUUUUAAAGCCAAGUUAUUUAGACAUAUUUCUUGAAAUGAAGAAGAAAUGUAGAUAGUUAAAUAUCUGUUGGUGGGUGCUGAAGGUUUUCUUAAAUGCUUUUUAUGAAUUUCAUACAUGUUUAAAGGAACAUGAACUGAUCUCAAUCUGGGAUUGGGGUAAAGUAAUAGAAUAGUUGAAUGUAUUUCUUCCAGAGUUUUUUUCUACAAUAUUUUCCUUGUUUGUGAUGACAGUGCUAUUGUUAUUAUAUGUUGAGAGUUGUUACUUGUUAACUGUCAAACAUACAGAUACAUGUAUAUAACUGUAGUGCUUUGUUUACAUUACAUUUUGGCCUGUUUAUAUACAGCAAUAAUAUUGAUCACCAUAACAAGCCUUGGAGAACAGUUGACCAUCUAUUCACCUUGAUGUGCUAUGUAGAAAGGAAUGGUCAGACAACACAAAUAACCUAUGUGCUUAAUAGGAUUUGUUAGGACUUAAACUACUAUUUGUAUGUUAAUCUAAAUAUGUUAUUUACAACAUAAAUGAAUUGUUUUCCUUCUUGUUAGUUUCAGCGUUACAUUAUUGUGUUUUAAAUACUGUUAAUUCAUUAUUAUUCAUGAGUUAUCAAUUUCUGUGGAUUUCAUAGUUAAAGGUGAACCACUAAUUUAAAUGUUCAACGAAUUACAAAAUUUCUAUACACUUAAAGCAGACUUUGGCAAAACUACAAAGUCAAAUAUUGACAAAAAUACAAUUUUUUACUUAAUCAAUCCACAAAAAUUGUAACCCAUGAAAACCACUAAAUUCACAGGACAUUAAAUAUAUUUGUUUGGUCUCUGUUUUGUAAAAAUUUUCCCUUCCAUAAACCCUAGAACAUUUGAUCAUUUGAUAUAAAUAUGGAUGAAAUGUUCUGUAAACAUUGCAUUGUUUGUAUGUUUUGGAAAUUAUUGUAUUUUGUGUGUGUAAGCAUGAUGAUACUGAGAAGCUUGUACACCAAAAUAUUUGUAAUAAAUUGAAAUGAAAACUUG